CUUCAGUCUCGUCAGGGGGUGACAUCUACAAUGCAUUUGUAUGGGAACAUUUUCUGAAUGGAUACGAGUCCUUUUAAUACAGGCCAGAAGAGUAAGACAGGAAGAAUACAUUCUAUAAACAUAUAGAUUUUCAAGAAUACAGCCGUCAACAAAUAAUAGUUUUAUUCAAGGUGACCCCAACAUUGGUGGGAAAAUUAUUUUUACAGCUUUCAAGGAUCUCUUUAAAAAUGUAAAUAGAAUAAUAUUAACAUUUUAUGACAGCUAUAGUAUCACACAGCGUUCUUGUCCUUAAGUCUUGCAAAGCACUUAGUCUUUGUAUUGUCAUAUUUGCAAUACGAUUAUUAUUCACAACUGCGGAAUUUAUAUUCAUUGACACAAAGGUCUUGUUAUUCUCUAUAAGAAUAGAACAAUUCUGAAUAUUUUGCUUACACUCUGUAAGAGAUGAUGUAGGGUCAGAAUGAGACUUCAUCCUAGCUGCUUGGUAGGAGGUAAUUAGAAAUAUUCUGUGCAUAAUCACGGCAAGAAUUCUGCCAUCAGCUUUUCCAUGUGCGAAUAGGAUAAUUUUUUUUCUUAUUUAUACAUAUGUAUAUGUAU